ensembl:lncRNA
CUGGGGUGAUGAAUAUCUGUUGGUUUCCUUCUCUGCCUCAAAAAGCAGCUGAUCAUUGCUGCAGUGCUGCUUCUUCAAAGGAAACUUACUUCCUUGCUCUCAUAACAAUCUCCAUUGGGGCUGACUUGCAAUGGUUGGUCUUCUUUAGUAUGCCAUGUGAAAUUGACAUCGUACUUUCCUUUCAUCAUUGAAAGAAAAUACAACCAUCUCUUCAGUUGUCCUUCCUCAGUUCUGGACACGGUGGAAAUGAAAGAAAAUAUUCCUCUGUGAAAGAUUCAACAACUUGAAGCAACACACUGGUCAAAACUUAUGAACGUGCAGCUCAUUUUCCAGUAAAUCAAGGUUACUGGAUAUUACAGGAGGACAAAGUACUGAGACAUCAUCAUCUCGGAGCUGACAGAAGAAAAUAUCACAUAAAAUAAGGUGAUCUGUGAAGAUAGUCAUGGAGGAGUGAUUAUUUCUUGUAAUGACUCAUGAGGAAGGGGAUGUCCAGUGACUAACAAAUGCAGAUUUAGAACAAACAUAAUAAGGAAGCAUUUCUUCUUGAAAAGUUAGUUGUGGAAGUCACUGUAACCAAAUUAUUUGGAAACUUAAGUGGAUAUAGUGGGCAUAAUCUUUCAAAAUAAAUAAAUAAAUACUUUUUAGGUUCUUUGGUUGUUAUUGAACAGACUGAUCUAGAUACAACCUUUGGGACAAUAAAUUUCUAUGUGGCAGAG